rnacentral:rRNA from 1 species
UACGAAGGGGGCUAGCGUUGUUCGGAGUUACUGGGCGUAAAGGGCUCGUAGGUGGCCAACUAAGUCAGACGUGAAAUCCCUCAGCUUAACUGGGGAACUGCGUCUGAUACUGGAUGGCUUGAGUUUGGGAGAGGGAUGCGGAAUUCCAGGUGUAGCGGUGAAAUGCGUAGAUAUCUGGAGGAACACCGGUGGCGAAGGCGGCAUCCUGGACCAACACUGACACUGAUGAGCGAAAGCCAGGGGAGCAAACGGG